UUAUACGUCUUGGGAGAGAACAGUCACAUAAAUUGUUUGGUAAAGAUCCAGAUGUCAUGAUUCUUCCCUAUAGCCCAUCUCAGGCCUCCUGGCUUGGUCAACACAUGGACGAAUGGGCAAUCAGCUGUGUUGCCUUUCAGGGUAAGAUAGAUAAUCAUUAUCCUCCAGAUAGAUUAAUUCAGUUUUUUGGUAAGCUUUCAGUUCUUGUUAUUUUCCCAAAAGUUAUUCGCACUCGCCCCCUGCCCGGGGUCCAUCUUGUUUUUACUGACAGUUCCUCUAAUGGCCAGGCCGCCUUUUCCAUUAAUGGCAAGGUACAUCAAAUAUCCGAUCCGCACAGUUGGUAGAGCUCCGAGCUGUCCUUGCAGUAUUUGAGACCCUACCCAGAUCACCCUUUAAUUUGUACACAGUUAGCUCUUACCUUGCC
rnacentral:lncRNA from 1 species